rnacentral:lncRNA from 1 species
CGGCCACCUGAGCUGCGAGCUGAGGAGGCCCCUUGGCUGUUCCCGCAAAGGGCCGGGGGGGCGCAUUUUCUCUCCUGCCAGCCAGCUCCAUCCUGGUGGUUUAUUCCCGGCCUUCCCUCACCCCCCACCCCCACAGCCUGCUGUAUGUAAAUAGGGAAAUAGAUCUACACGGACACAAUAAUUUAGCUUGGUUGGUCUUUGGCAUUUUCUAUAAGACCCCAAGAGGUGGACUUUCCUCUCCCCUUCCUCCUUUUAGAAAUGGCAUCCUUCAUCUCUGUCUAUGCAGGCCCAAUUAUCCAGAUCCUCGGGGCUCCAAUAGGGUCUGAGUCAUUGGAACCAGGAACACCUGGCUGAAACAUGCCACAUAAUUAGAUUUUCUUUUUCUUCACCUUUUCUUUCUUAUUUUUAUAAGAGGCCCGGAAUUAGCCUCUUCGACUGGGGCGGAGUAGCUGGGGUGUGGGAAAGGAACACCUUCAUACAACUUCCAGCUUUCAGCCCCUUGGAGAGAUUUCCAAAUUCCCCUGAGCCGCUAGCACUUCCUUUCCUCGAUCUCUCGGCCACCUCCUCCUCCUUCUCCGAUCUUUUUUUUCCCCCUCCUCCCACUGUCUUCUCUAUGGUUUAAUCAAAGUUCAGCGACUCCACUUGCCUCUCCUCUCAUUUCUUUCGGAAAGCGGAAACCAGACGAUCCAGCGGCCACAGGACGAGUCGCCCCAACUCAACCCCAGCAGGACGCUGGAAGGGCCUCCCUUGCCCACCUCUCUUCGCUGGCACUGGCCUCCCACACCCGGGUCUGCAGUCCCUCCACCAUCUCACAGGCCUCUCCACUUGCCCGAGCUCUCAGCCACCAGGAGACAGACGGAAGGGGCUUCUGGGCUGUGUUGGGAGCGGGCACUGUCCCCUACUCACUCCUGCACAGUUUCCCAAAGUCCAGCGACCUCCAAUCCUCCUUGGGGAAAAAAAUACCAGUACCCAGACACCUCUGCACCCUGUUAUAUGACUGGGCUUGCUUCAGGAAUAUCUUACAAAGAAGAAGAAGAAGAAGGAGGAAUGGCUUGGAGUCAUGUUUACAUCUAGUUCUUCUGAUCCAUUCACAUCUGGAGAGUUUAUUUGUAACUCCCUCUAUAACUCUCUGUUUGGAGGCACUGGUGGCUCUACUGACAGACUGAUGUCUAGGAAAUAUUGCUCUAUGUCUAACCGUACCUAAAUGUGCUGUGGUUGUAUUUACAGAUUUACGUUUGAGGGAAAUAUAAUUAUUUCCAUUGUAUUUGUGCAUAUACAGUAGUUAUAGGAGCAGAUUUAUAUAUGGGAAAAUAUGCGACUCUCUUACAGCCAUCCGGCUUUAUGUACAUUUGAUAUCCUGACAGAUUUCUAUCUCUGAACAGCUAUAUAGAUAAAAACGUAUAUUGUUAGAAUUAUGUAUGAGGAGAUAUAUACUUAUUGAUUGCAAAAUAGUGUAUUUAGAGCAUUCACUUAGAGCCAUAUAUGGCUAUGGAGAGAUUUCUAUAUUAUUAUCACUAUAUAUAGGCAUAUCUAUUUAUAACUGCAUAGUUAUAAAAAUAGACAUAAGUAAUUAUAGUCCUAUAUGUGCAUGCUGCAAUCUCUCUCUAGAGUUAUAGACACUUUCAAAUAUAACUCUAUAGAGAGAUCUGUAUGUAUAUAAGGUGUAAUUAUCUUGUGAUGUGUUUACGUUGGGACUUAGGCCUGUCUGUCCAGAACAGACAUAUUUAUAUGUAGGGGCUGGGAGAGACUUAUUCACAGAUAUCUGCAGAGGGCCAACUGGAAACACUAUAUCUGCCCUCUAGGAAACCAGCUAGGAGAGUUGUGUACUUAUGGAGGGAUGGAGUUACAAAAGGGUAAAUAGAGCUCAGGGAGCCUUAAGGAGGGGAGGUGAAUGGAGGGUUGGUGGGCUCAGUUUGAACAGAUAGUGGGAGGAAAGGGGUAAACACCAGCACCCACCAGAAGGCAAGAACCAGUUUUGUGAGGUGCUGGCGCAGACGACUGUGGACAAGGAGCUUGUAAAAUGAGAAGCGGCUAACAGUCCUGCCACCUCAACCUGAGACACUCUCCACCGAGGAAGCAGCCUUCAGUUUGGCUUUUAGUGCACUGUAGGAUAGGGACUGUCGUGUCACUCCUGUAGUCCUAGAGCGUUUCUGUUGAACCCUAAUUUUUAGGUCUCAAAGAGUGGGCUUCAGAGAUAAAGAGGUUUAGGCAGGGACAGGGCGAGGAGCGUGGGGUGUACUUUCGCUUUCCAAUAAGUGAGGCAAUCCAGGAAAGUGAGUUAAUUUGGCCAAAUAAAGCUUGUUUUUAUGUGGGCCUCCUGUGCCCUGGUGGGGAUGUAGGAUGGGACCAGAAUCUGGUGGACUGAGGAGUGAAUUUCCAAAUACCUCCCACGACUGCCAGUUUUUGUGUUUGUGUGUGUGUGUGUGUGUGUGUGUGUGUGUGUGUUUUAACCAG